rnacentral:rRNA from 1 species
UGAACGCUGGCGGCGUGCCUAACACAUGCAAGUCGAACGGAGAUUAAACGCUGAUGAGGCUUCGGCGGAUUCUGUUAAUCUUAGUGGCGGACGGGUGAGUAACGCGUGGGCAACCUGCCUCAUACUGGGGGAUAACAGUUGGAAACGACUGUUAAUACCGCAUAAGCGCACAGUGUCGCAUGACACAGUGUGAAAAACUCCGGUGGUAUGAGAUGGGCCCGCGUCAGAUUAGCCAGUUGGCGGGGUAACGGCCCACCAAAGCGACGAUCUGUAGCCGGACUGAGAGGUCGGACGGCCACAUUGGGACUGAGACACGGCCCAAACUCCUACGGGAGGCAGCAGUGGGGGAUAUUGCACAAUGGAGGAAACUCUGAUGCAGCGACGCCGCGUGAGUGAAGAAGUAUUUCGGUAUGUAAAGCUCUAUCAGCAGGGAAGAAAGGCCCGCAAGGGAGAUGACGGUACCUGACUAAGAAGCCCCGGCUAACUACGUGCCAGCAGCCGC